rnacentral:rRNA from 1 species
AUGAAGGACAUGGCAUUAGCAGGAGCUAGCCUACGCACAAUGUGCACGCACUCCUGGCAUCAGAAGAUGGCUAUAUUGGCGAAAAGACUAGUGGUGGACAAUGUGACCACGAGUGGCAACGAGUGCGAUAACCCGAGUGGGUUGCUUGGACCAUGCGAGGAUUUGUUUUCCCCGUUGCAACGCACGGGCAUAUGUGCUACCACGCUCUGCCUCGCGGCGCUCCGCCCCGCCCAACCCACCGUUCCCUCCAGCCAGGCCCCGCGCGCCGCCGGCCGACUCCUGCCUCCCAAUCCCAUCUCCUCCCCACCCGGGGCUUUCUUCGCCGUUCACAGCUCCCCUCCAUCGAUUGGCCGCGACCUCGCUGGAGGCAGAGGAUGGGAGGGUGCGGAGCUGGCAUCCGCCUCACGAAGAUCGAGCGGACCGAUCUGCGCGCCGGCGACCUCGCGGGAGGCAGAGGAUGGGAUGGCGUGCUGCACUCGAGACGAGCGGGCUCGAUUAAGGGGACCGGAGGUUGGCGCCGGCGGGCUCGUGGACGGGGAUGGAGAGGGCAGGUGCCAAUCCGGCGUGACAAGAAAGUUGUUGCGGCGCCGGCCGACCAGCUCCGUCUCCGCGAUUCCAUGGACGGCGGUGGCGUCGCGCUCGCCGCCGACCGCGCGCGGCUGGAGGCCGUCAACGCGCUGCAGCACGAGUCCUGGCCCCUGGGAGGCCCGCGACGUUCGCCUCCAGUGGCGCCUCCUCAAGGUGACCCCUCCGCUCCAUCCACUCCCUCCUCUUUAUCCUAGGAUUUCGAUCGGCUCCUCACUGAUGCUACUGACUAGCGUGUGCUCGCGGAGAUGUCAGGCGGAUGAGAACUGGAGGAUGUGGGAGGCGACGUGCAUGUCCCUAUGGCGCUCCGACGAUGACCGGAUGUUCCCCGAGCACCUCCAUGUCCAUGUCGUCAACAUGUUGCUCGCCGACCGUGUUGUUCUUGAGAUCCGCCUUGAAGACGGGGGAUCGGGCCUCCAGCACAAAUCGUUCUUUAGCAUGGAGGUCGCUUCUGGCAUGUUCCGCAAGUUCAAAACGAAGAAGAUCUCUGUUUGCACAGCCCUUCAGGGGAACAAAUGGAUUUCUGCACUCCGUCAGAGAGGUGCAAAUACCACAGGCCAAGAUGUCGUCUCCUGGUGUUGGACAACAGAUGGAAUGAUUCUGACCGCGGACAAGCUGAUCCAGAGAGGAUGGCAAGGAAGCGAGAUUUGUUCGAUGUGCAGUUCACAGGAGGAGUCAGUGGAGCAUCUUCUUCUGAACUGUUAUUUUGCUCGCCAAGUUUGGAGGAGGAUCGCGGCUUGGUCUUGUUUCGAUUCGAGACAUUAUGACGUGAAGAUGGCCUCCGGGAGGGCACGAGAUGUUGGGCCGUCGAUGCCUUUCUAUAUUAGGCUGGGCCUUCCUUCGUUCUGCAAAAAAGAUACCCUGAUGCGUUACCCAGCAGAUCCGAGCACAGCAGCUCGAUGCCCUUCCACGGCAGACCAGGUCUUCUUUCUCUUCUUCUUUGAUCCAACACAAUCUCCUUCCUCUUCUUUUAUUCAAUCUUUCCAAUUUUUGAUCCAAUCUUUCCUGCGCUUGAAACCUUCUCUGACACAAACACUUCCUGCGUCCAUGGGGAGCCCGGCAGGAACUCUGGCAGGGUCUCCUUUGGCUGUUCCAAAGGCCGAUGAACGCGCAUAUAAAUACACAUCUACUCCCUCGACCGAAGCUCCAGCUCAAUUUUGUCAUUAUUUCGUGCUCAACAAUGGUGUCUUGUCGUUCUACCAAAGUCGACGGAAUCUCGCCGCUCUGUCAACCUCGCCGGAAUUUAUCCGUACUGCCGACUUCGUUAGAAUUACAAUGCGGAAUCUCACAAGCUACAGCGAUCUGGCAGGUGCUCGGUUUGCAAGAAAAACAACGACAUCCUGCAGCAGUUCACCGACUAAGUCGGCAGCCUGCAGCCAGCAGGAAGCACGAGAAGCAGAGAAGCAGCAGCAGGCCAGCAGCGGAGCAGUCAACAGCAGAAGGCAGCCGGCGCACGUCACGGCGGCCCGGAGGCGGAGUGCGGCGAUGGUUGCCCAGGCCGGCGGCCGGCGGACCACAGUUGGCAUCAGUGAGCAGCCGCUGGUCGAGUCAAAGGCCUAG